rnacentral:rRNA from 1 species
GACGAACGCUGGCGGCGUGCUUACACAUGCAAGUCGAACGGAAAGGCCCUGCUUUUGUGGGGUGCUCGAGUGGCGAACGGGUGAGUAACACGUGAGUAACCUGCCCUUGACUUUGGGAUAACUUCAGGAAACUGGGGCUAAUACCGGAUAGGAGCUCCUGCUGCAUGGUGGGGGUUGGAAAGUUUCGGCGGUUGGGGAUGGACUCGCGGCUUAUCAGCUUGUUGGUGGGGUAGUGGCUUACCAAGGCUUUGACGGGUAGCCGGCCUGAGAGGGUGACCGGCCACAUUGGGACUGAGAUACGGCCCAGACUCCUACGGGAGGCAGCAGUGGGGAAUAUUGCACAAUGGGCGGAAGCCUGAUGCAGCAACGCCGCGUGCGGGGUGACGGCCUUCGGGUUGUAAACCGCUUUCGCCUGUGACGAAGCGUGAGUGACGGUAAUGGGUAAAGAAGCACCGGCUAACUACGUGCCAGCAGCCGCGGUGAUACGUAGGGUGCGAGCGUUGUCCGGAUUUAUUGGGCGUAAAGGGCUCGUAGGUGGUUGAUCGCGUCGGAAGUGUAAUCUUGGGGCUUAACCCUGAGCGUGCUUUCGAUACGGGUGGACUUGAGGAAGGUAGGGGAGAAUGGAAUUCCUGGUGGAGCGGUGGAAUGCGCAGAUAUCAGGAGGAACACCAGUGGCGAAGGCGGUUCUCUGGGCCUUUCCUGACGCUGAGGAGCGAAAGCGUGGGGAGCGAACAGGCUUAGAUACCCUGGUAGUCCACGCUGUAAACGGUGGGUACUAGGUGUGGGGUCCAUUCCACGGGUUCCGUGCCGUAGCUAACGCUUUAAGUACCCCGCCUGGGGAGUACGGCCGCAAGGCUAAAACUCAAAGGAAUUGACGGGGCCCCGCACAAGCGGCGGAGCAUGCGGAUUAAUUCGAUGCAACGCGUAGAACCUUACCUGGGUUUGACAUGGAUCGGGAGUGCUCAGAGAUGGGUGUGCCUCUUUUGGGGUCGGUUCACAGGUGGUGCAUGGCUGUCGUCAGCUCGUGUCGUGAGAUGUUGGGUUAAGUCCCGCAACGAGCGCAACCCUUGUUCACUGUUGCCAGCACGUUAUGGUGGGGACUCAGUGGAGACCGCCGGGGUCAACUCGGAGGAAGGUGGGGAUGACGUCAAGUCAUCAUGCCCCUUAUGUCCAGGGCUUCACGCAUGCUACAAUGGCUGGUACAGAGAGUGGCGAGCCUGUGAGGGUGAGCGAAUCUCGGAAAGCCGGUCUCAGUUCGGAUUGGGGUCUGCAACUCGACCUCAUGAAGUCGGAGUCGCUAGUAAUCGCAGAUCAGCAACGCUGCGGUGAAUACGUUCCCGGG